rnacentral:rRNA from 1 species
AUUACCGAGUUUACAACUCCCAAACCCAAUGUGAACGUUACCAAACUGUUGCCUCGGCGGGAUCUCUGCCCCGGGUGCGUCGCAGCCCCGGACCAAGGCGCCCGCCGGAGGACCAACCAAAACUCUUAUUGUAUACCCCCUCGCGGGUUUUUUUAUAAUCUGAGCCUUCUCGGCGCCUCUCGUAGGCGUUUCGAAAAUGAAUCAAAACUUUCAACAACGGAUCUCUUGGUUCUGGCAUCGAUGAAGAACGCAGCGAAAUGCGAUAAGUAAUGUGAAUUGCAGAAUUCAGUGAAUCAUCGAAUCUUUGAACGCACAUUGCGCCCGCCAGUAUUCUGGCGGGCAUGCCUGUCCGAGCGUCAUUUCAACCCUCGAACCCCUCCGGGGGGUCGGCGUUGGGGAUCGGCCCUCCCUUAGCGGGUGGCCGUCUCCGAAAUACAGUGGCGGUCUCGCCGCAGCCUCUCCUGCGCAGUAGUUUGCACACUCGCAUCGGGAGCGCGGCGCGUCCACAGCCGUUAAACACCCAACUUCUGAAAUGU